rnacentral:misc_RNA from 1 species
GCUCCGUUCACUAGAUGAACAACGAUCACCGAAGGCCAAAUUGGCUGUUAUUGAGUUUGCUAUCAGUUCCCUUAACAAACAUGCAAUGAAUUCUGAAGGUUCUGGUAACAUAGGCAUUCUGAAAUUGUGGCNNNNNNNNGCCCGUGAUAAAAAUACUAAGCUCAAGGAGGCAGCUAUUACAUGCAUUAUAUCAGUUUACU